CCUACGGGUGGCAGCAGUGGGGAAUAUUGGGCAAUGGGCGCAAGCCUGACCCAGCAACGCCGCGUGAAGGAAGAAGGCUUUCGGGUUGUAAACUUCUUUUCUCAGGGACGAAGCAAGUGACGGUACCUGAGGAAUAAGCCACGGCUAACUACGUGCAAGCAGCCGCGGUAAUACGUAGGUGGCAAGCGUUAUCAGGAUUUACUGGGUGUAAAGGGCGUGUAGGCGGGAAAGCAAGUCAGAUGUGAAAACCAUGGGCUCAACCCGUGGCCUGCAGUUGAAACUGGUUUUCUUGAGUACUGGGGAGGCAGACGGAAUUCCUGGUGUAGCGGUGCAAUGCGUAGAUAUGAGGAGGAACACCAGUGGCGAAGGCGGUCUGCUGGACAGCAACUGACGCUGAGGCGCGAAAGCGUGGGGAGCAAACAGGAUUAGAUACCCGAGUAGUC
rnacentral:rRNA from 1 species